UUAGAGAGAAGACAAAUCAUCAGAGAAACUGAAGGAGGAGCUGCUCCUGACUCAUACUUUUCAGAGUUCUGCCACAGAGGGAGAGGAGUCACCUGCCUUGUCUGGGGAUCAGCAAAUCUGGAUUCUAUUUAUACAUUCCCUUUAACCUGUCUGCUCUCAGUUCUGUCUUCAUCCCAGAUUUAGAAAGAUCAGAUAUCUCCAGUGUUUCAGCCUUCCAAAUGCAAGCUGCUAAUUUGCUCUUCACAUUUACCUAUUUUUUUUUCUUCAGGGUUAAACUUUUUCAAGUCUGGAAAACUCAGUUAUCACGAGUCCACUGCCUUUGCUGAUUCCAGGUCUCUUGCAAUAUUCUUCAUUCCCAACCUGCUAGUUUCAUGAUCUAAUC
rnacentral:lncRNA from 1 species